rnacentral:rRNA from 1 species
UACGGAGGGUGCAAGCGUUGUCCGGAAUUAUUGGGCGUAAAGAGCUCGUAGGCGGCCUGUCGCGUCGGCUGUGAAAACCCGGGGCUCAACCCCGGGCCUGCAGUGGGUACGGGCAGACUAGAGUGCGGUAGGGGAGACUGGAAUUCCUGGUGUAGCGGUGAAAUGCGCAGAUAUCAGGAGGAACACCGGUGGCGAAGGCGGGUCUCUGGGCCGUAACUGACGCUGAGGAAGCGGAAAGCAUGGGGAGCGAACAGG